AGCGGGCAUUGGAUAAGGCGGCCGUCCGUCAGAGCUCGAGGCGGAAAUGGCCCGUUGAGUCGGAGGAGGUGCGAAGAGGUGAGACCAUGUGAUGGCGCCAGAGCCAGUUAGCGGAGCUGACCUCGUUUGUGGGGCUUUGCGGGAGAAGCCAUCUUGGGAGUGGGUACGUGGCGGAUCAGGCGGUGGGAAGCGUGCUUUCCCCAGCCUCCCGCCAUCUUGCAAACGGGCAGAGACCACCUCGACCUCGGGCGUGAUGUCAAAGGGAGGCUCACUGCCAUCUUGAAGUCGGGCAGAAACCUACAGGGCUCCAUGUUGUUUGUGGGCACCUGGCCGAAGUCCCUUUCGAAUUCAGACGUUACUCAGUGACUGGUGCCAGGGAUGCGCCCCCCCCCACCACGCCGUGACAGCAGGGAGGAUGGUUGGAGACGCGGGAGUGUCCGUGGACCAGAAGGAAAGGAGGGGGCAGCCACGUUCAUGGACCCUCCACCAGAUUCCCAGCAUGGAUCUAAACGGUUGGAAUCUAUUCAAAACCACUUGUGAUCACCACCGUCCAGGCUCAAGAAAGCGCAAGCCGACGUUGUGGCCCCACAGAACCCCACACUGCCAGCACCUUUUGGUUUCUGACCUCAUUUACAUAGGUCUUCUGUGCAAGGCUUUCCCCUUAAGGAAGGUUCCUUCACUCCUUCCUUCACUGCCUGCUGUAAGGCAGGCCCUCUCAUCAGAAUAGCCUCCCAGCCUUUCAAAACAGUUGAGGAUUUCUGUCUUGCCUGCCACCAGAACAUAAUAGGGAGAAGACAGCCCCUGCUCAAAUGGGAAAAGUGCCACAAACUAGGUGACAUAAAACAACACAGGUUUAUUCUCACUCUGGAACUGAAGUGUCCACAAGGCCAAGCUCCCUCCAGAGACUCCAGCGGAGGAUCCUUCCUGCUUCAUGAAGCUCUGAGGGCUCAGGUGUCCUUGGCUUGUGACAUCCCUCCAGUCCCUGCCUCUGUUGUCACAUGGUCCUCUUUUCCCUCUCUGUCCUUCCUCUGUGUGUCUCUAAAAAGGACCCUUGUCCUUGGAUUUAGAGACUGCGGGAUGAUCUCACGUCACUCACCACCCUUCAUCUCACCUGCAAACCAUCCUGAAGGGGGGGUUAUGUUGGGGGAUGGAGAAUGUGGACACACCAUUUUGGGAGCCACCCAUUAGCCCAGGACCCCCUAUGGAACCUGGAUCAGAUAUGAAAGUUUGCUGGCAGGCCUUCCACAUUUGCACUGAGCAGAGGUGUCCGGGGAGCCCCUGGGCCCCACGUUUCAGCUGGAUCAGUGCCCUGGUUCAUGGGAGCUGGCUGGCCUCCCUGUCUGCCUGCUCCCUGCUCAGCUCGCCUGCCAGCUGCCUGCCUCAUCAAUGAUUUAGGCUGAAUGUGGAUGUGUG
ensembl:lncRNA